rnacentral:RNase_P_RNA from 1 species
CGAGUUGGCAGGGCGGCCGCGGGCGGUACUCGUCAGAGCACCGUCCGAGGAAAGUCCGGACUCCACAGGGCAGGGUGGUUGCUAACGGCAACCCGGGGUGACCCGCGGGAAAGUGCCACAGAAAACAGACCGCCGCCGUGGCGGAGCAGGUGCCUCUGGCGCAGGGGACGCAACGGCGGUAAGGGUGAAACGGCGGUGUAAGAGACCACCAGCACCCCGGGUGACCGGGGUGGCUCGGCAAACCCCACCCGGAGCAAGGCCAAGAGGGCACCUCGGUGCCUGCGCGAGCAACAGGGCGGCCCGUCCUCGCUCGCGGGUAGGCCGCUGGAGCCCGCCGGCGACGACGGGCCAAGAUGGAUGGUCGCCACCUGCGGCGCCGCGAGGUGUCGCAGGGACAGGAUCCGGCUUACAUGCCAACUCGUCCC